rnacentral:rRNA from 1 species
UACAGAGGGUGCAAGCGUUGUUCGGAAUUGUUGGGCGUAAAGCGCGUGUAGGCGGCUUGUUAUGUCGGGUGUGAAAGCCCUCAGCUUAACUGAGGAAGUGCGCCCGAAACUGGCGAGCUUGAGUGCCGGAGAGGAUAGCGGAACACCCGGUGUAGAGGUGAAAUUCGUAGAUAUCGGGUAGAACACCAGUGGCGAAGGCGGGUCUCUGGGCCGAUACUGACGCUGAGGAGCGAAAGCGUGGGGAGCGAACAGG